GCACGCGCGCUACGUCCCUCAGACUGGCUGCCCCCGAGGGUUCGCGUGAGCGGAGCACGGGGCUCGGGGUGCGGGGGGCUGGUGUGAUGGACGCAUUUGUUCUUCGGUCCCUGACGAUUGUUUCUCAUUUGCCCUCCAAGCCCCAAAUCCUGUCAGUCCACGGCCUUGAUGGAGCGGCCCCCGUGGGACGACCCUGUUGAUUGUGCUAGCGGAUGUUGUCUCCAUUCUGGAUCUGGGAAAAACUGUGGAGUGAAAGCCGGACCUGUUAGGGUUGGGACCUGAAAGCGGACUUUUUCGCUCUCAGACGGGCCCCAGGAAUUUCAUGUUUAACAGAGGUGUCUUCAAGGAGAUGAAACAAUUCAGAAUGACCUAGGCAAUGGGGUAAUUCCUAAGUAUUGUAGGUCAAGAUAUUGGUUACCUAUGAGGGGGUGAUGCCUGGAGGAAGACCUAAGGGGAGGUCUUCUGGAUACUGAGUGCAUGGACCCCACCACCGUGCCCUGAGGAAGCCCAAACAACCCAUGGAGACAUCCGCAUGGAGAGACCUGUGCCCUCAGUCCUGGUUGAACUCCCAGCUGACAGUCAAUGUCAACUUGCCAGCCAUAUGAGUGAACCAUACUGAAGUUCAUCAUCCAUCCCUGAGUAAAGCUACGUGAGCUGACACCAUGUGGAGAAGAAACAAGCAUUCUUACUGAGCCCCGCCCAAAUUGCCGAUUCAUGAACUAAAAAAAAAGAUUGCUGUUCAUUUAAGCCACUAAAUUUUAGGAAUGUUUAGUAAGCAGCAAUCUAUAACUAGAACAAUGGUCAAUAAAUGAAAAUUUUACUUUAAGAAGGCAUACUAUAGCCACAUAACUUUGGGAAACUCUCUUGGUUAAAGUUUUAAAAAUUUCCCUUACUGCAGAGCUUUUAAUGGGCUAAUGUGUUUCAUGUUCCCUCACAAGAGUAUCCAGUGUUUCUCAAACAUUUUUAACCACAGAAUCUGUAUUGUAAAGUGCCAUCUUGCGAGAUUGGGGUUAACGGCCAGACUUUAAGAAAACCAAAUGAACUUUUCAGUAAUUCAAUAAUUGAAAUUCUAAUUCUUAAAAUUGCAAAGAGUUUACAUUAGGAUAGUUUUAAUUUGAAAAGUCAUAUGUUAUA
rnacentral:lncRNA from 1 species